GUUAGCUUUUUCAUGCUGGGUUAGCUUUUUCAUGCUGGGUUAGCUUUUUCAUGCUGGGUUAGCUUUUUCAUGCUGGGUUAGCUUUUUCAUGCUACUAACCCUGGAUUAGCUUUCGUUGACUAGGUUAAUUUUUAAUCACUAUUUUUAGCUUUCGUGUGCUAGGUUAAUCUACGUAUAAAUGCUAGGUUAGCUUUGUGAUUGGUGACACUUAAUCUUCUGUGAAACUUUAGCCGUGAUUAGCCUCUGGCCGGUUUAUAUUAAGGAAGGAAUUAGGCGCAUUAUGACGUGUGAAGAGGCGGAGUCACCCCCCAAAGUUGAUUAUUUUCCUUGAACAGAACGUCGCGAGGUGUUUUAUUCCUUUAUACUAUUAGCAAUUUGGCAGCGAUUCAUCUUUUUAUUGAUUAUAGAACGAUGUCAUACUUUUUAUCCGUUUAUAGUUACAUUUAAAUGUUGUGUAGACAUUUCCCUCGCCCUUUCUGUUUUCCUCCAAGGCAAAAAAAAAAAAAAGGCACCUUGUGGUGUUUUGUAAACUCCUCUGUCCUGAAGAUGUGGGAAAACUUCAAGUUAUAGCUUCACCCCCGACUGACACCGGAGACUCCUUCCUUUCAUGUUAAAUAAACGUCUCCUUCCAGAAAACGUCACCACGUCAACUGUUACACACGUUUUUUUAAAGUCCCUGUGAACCAGCUGUUCCUGAAAUAUUACCGUGAGCGGAGCGACACGUCAGCUGCUGUUAGAGGAAAUGAAUCAACAGCUUCUGACCAAUCAGAGUUGAGAAUCCGUUACGCUUUGGACUUUACGUUCAUGACGAGAGGAAGAUGAUCCUCAGGAAGCGCUCGCGGAUCGAUUUGAAUAAACUUUAUGUUUGGGAAACGAGGCGUUGCGAGUACACGUGAUGUUCGGAGUUAUACACUAUAAAACUCCAACGCGACCAAAUCCAGAUGUUCGAGCGCAGUGUUAUCAGAUGCACUAAUUACAACUGCUCACAGUCAGAAACGAUGUAGAGUGUAAUUAUGGUGACUAGUAGCACACACACACACACACACACACACACA
ensembl:lncRNA